rnacentral:lncRNA from 1 species
UGCGCUUUUAACUGCUUGUGGUUGAGUGGCAGCAUGAGCGAGCUCUGCGUAUUCCAACCCGGUGUUAAGAAUCCUUCACUAACUUUUCUUCCCGACGCUGCUUAUUUAUCUAUCGGUAGCAUGACGGGUAAUUGACGCCCUCGGAUGGCUUUGAGGUCGCCAUUUUUGGUUGGUGCCUUUGUCUUGGUGUCAGGACUGGGAUAUCAUCUGGGACACAUUACCCCACAGGUAUCCUGUUGGACCUCAACGAGGAAGUUGGCAACAGAGGAACCAGGAGAUGAGAGAGAUCGAUACCUACAGCCGCUGAGAGCCGGUAUUCCAACGCCAUGAGACGCCUUCUGUUGUGAGCAGUUGACAAGAGAGACCCAGCACUUACUGCAACCGGAAGGAGCGGUUCCUCCCUCGCUCGCGCAGCCGCUCUUCCCCGCCACUCCCUCGGUGCCCGCCAGCACAUUCCCAGCAAGCCCUGAGUAUAUUUGCAUAUCAACUCACUACAUUUUUCUUCUAACUAAAAAAUCGAAAGGACAAAUUCUAGAUUCUCCUUGUGAAGUCUUCCUUUCAGUUCAGAAGAAAUGGAAUUCGCUCUUCAACUUCAGGAAGUUGAAAUAAAGAGUUGCUUGGA